GCCUGGGUGGCUCAGUUGGUUGGGCAGCUGCCUUCAGUUCAGGUCAUGAUCCUAGUUUCGUGGGAUCGAGUCCCACAUUGGGCU
rnacentral:tRNA from 1 species